UACGGAGGGUGCGAGCGUUGUCCGGAAUUAUUGGGCGUAAAGAGCUCGUAGGCGGUCUGUUGCGUCGGCUGUGAAAACCCGGGGCUCAACUCCGGGCCUGCAGCCGAUACGGGCAGACUAGAGUUCGGCAGGGGAGACUGGAAUUCCUGGUGUAGCGGUGAAAUGCGCAGAUAUCAGGAGGAACACCGGUGGCGAAGGCGGGUCUCUGGGCCGAUACUGACGCUGAGGAGCGAAAGCGUGGGGAGCGAACAGG
rnacentral:rRNA from 1 species